GCGCGCUACAAUGGCGGUGUCAACGAGUCAGACCUUCUGGCCUGAAAAGGCUGGGUAAACUGGUCAAUCACCGUCAUGACAGGGAUCGGGGCUUGGAAUUAUUCCCCGUGAACGAGGAAUUCCUAGUAAGUGCAAGUCAUAAGCUUGCGCUGAUUACGUCCCUGCCCUUUGUACACACCGCCCGUCGCUACUACCGAUUGAAUGGUUUAGUAAGGUCCUUGGAUUGGCGCCAUCUUGGUGCCCCGAAAGGUGGCUACCUGGCCGGUGCUGAGAAGACGACCAAACUUGAUCAUUUAGAGGAAGUAAAAGUCGUAACAAGGUUUCCGUAGGUGAACCUGCGGAAGGAUCAUUACACGUUCCAUUUAUUAAUUCUGCUACUACUGCUACUUCUUCUAAGGUAUCGGUCAAUUGUGAUCAAAUGUGGGUGUGAGUACCGAUAUCUGUGGUAAUGGUAGUUAGUUAAGUAGUAAAGGAGGAGGAGUAGUAGUACGUCAAAUCAUACAUUAUUGCCUACCUUCGGUGGGGUGCCUAGUCUGCCUAACACCUUGGUGGUGUGCCCGUGUAUUUCUUGCUGUUGCUGCUGUUGCAUGAAAUGCACCGGUCCAUACCCGGGCGGUAGAGUAGUGCACUAGUAGUUGCCACUGCCACUCCUGUUGCCUUCUUUUAUUGUGUACAUUUUAUUGUGCGGUACAUGGGGUAACGUGUGUGUGUGUGUGCGCAAGUGACUAUUAGUGUGCAAGGCAUAAGAUGUUUGGAUGGUACUAUUGGUUGUGCUCCAUUAAUACCAUCCUACGCCCCACUAUGCGUCGAGUUCUAUUACAUUAUCUACCUUUAGUAGAUA
rnacentral:rRNA from 1 species